rnacentral:rRNA from 1 species
UUAAGCGACUAAGCGUACACGGUGGAUGCCCUGGCAGUCAGAGGCGAUGAAGGACGUGCUAAUCUGCGAUAAGCGUCGGUAAGGUGAUAUGAACCGUUAUAACCGGCGAUUUCCGAAUGGGGAAACCCAGUGUGAUUCGUCACACUAUCAUUAACUGAAUCCAUAGGUUAAUGAGGCGAACCGGGGGAACUGAAACAUCUAAGUACCCCGAGGAAAAGAAAUCAACCGAGAUUCCCCCAGUAGCGGCGAGCGAACGGGGAGCAGCCCAGAGCCUGAAUCAGUGUGUGUGUUAGUGGAAGCGUCUGGAAAGGCGCGCGAUACAGGGUGACAGCCCCGUACACAAAAAUGCACAUGCUGUGAGCUCGAUGAGUAGGGCGGGACACGUGGUAUCCUGUCUGAAUAUGGGGGGACCAUCCUCCAAGGCUAAAUACUCCUGACUGACCGAUAGUGAACCAGUACCGUGAGGGAAAGGCGAAAAGAACCCCGGCGAGGGGAGUGAAAAAGAACCUGAAACCGUGUACGUACAAGCAGUGGGAGCACAGAGCAAUCUGUGUGACUGCGUACCUUUUGUAUAAUGGGUCAGCGACUUAUAUUCUGUAGCAAGGUUAACCGAAUAGGGGAGCCGAAGGGAAACCGAGUCUUAACUGGGCGUUAAGUUGCAGGGUAUAGACCCGAAACCCGGUGAUCUAGCCAUGGGCAGGUUGAAGGUUGGGUAACACUAACUGGAGGACCGAACCGACUAAUGUUGAAAAAUUAGCGGAUGACUUGUGGCUGGGGGUGAAAGGCCAAUCAAACCGGGAGAUAGCUGGUUCUCCCCGAAAGCUAUUUAGGUAGCGCCUCGUGAAUUCAUCUCCGGGGGUAGAGCACUGUUUCGGCAAGGGGGUCAUCCCGACUUACCAACCCGAUGCAAACUGCGAAUACCGGAGAAUGUUAUCACGGGAGACACACGGCGGGUGCUAACGUCCGUCGUGAAGAGGGAAACAACCCAGACCGCCAGCUAAGGUCCCAAAGUCAUGGUUAAGUGGGAAACGAUGUGGGAAGGCCCAGACAGCCAGGAUGUUGGCUUAGAAGCAGCCAUCAUUUAAAGAAAGCGUAAUAGCUCACUGGUCGAGUCGGCCUGCGCGGAAGAUGUAACGGGGCUAAACCAUGCACCGAAGCUGCGGCAGCGACACUAUGUGUUGUUGGGUAGGGGAGCGUUCUGUAAGCCUGUGAAGGUGUACUGUGAGGUAUGCUGGAGGUAUCAGAAGUGCGAAUGCUGACAUAAGUAACGAUAAAGCGGGUGAAAAGCCCGCUCGCCGGAAGACCAAGGGUUCCUGUCCAACGUUAAUCGGGGCAGGGUGAGUCGACCCCUAAGGCGAGGCCGAAAGGCGUAGUCGAUGGGAAACAGGUUAAUAUUCCUGUACUUGGUGUUACUGCGAAGGGGGGACGGAGAAGGCUAUGUUGGCCGGGCGACGGUUGUCCCGGUUUAAGCGUGUAGGCUGGUUUUCCAGGCAAAUCCGGAAAAUCAAGGCUGAGGCGUGAUGACGAGGCACUACGGUGCUGAAGCAACAAAUGCCCUGCUUCCAGGAAAAGCCUCUAAGCAUCAGGUAAUAUCAAAUCGUACCCCAAACCGACACAGGUGGUCAGGUAGAGAAUACCAAGGCGCUUGAGAGAACUCGGGUGAAGGAACUAGGCAAAAUGGUGCCGUAACUUCGGGAGAAGGCACGCUGAUAUGUAGGUGAAGUCCCUCGCGGAUGGAGCUGAAAUCAGUCGAAGAUACCAGCUGGCUGCAACUGUUUAUUAAAAACACAGCACUGUGCAAACACGAAAGUGGACGUAUACGGUGUGACGCCUGCCCGGUGCCGGAAGGUUAAUUGAUGGGGUCAGCGCAAGCGAAGCUCUUGAUCGAAGCCCCGGUAAACGGCGGCCGUAACUAUAACGGUCCUAAGGUAGCGAAAUUCCUUGUCGGGUAAGUUCCGACCUGCACGAAUGGCGUAAUGAUGGCCAGGCUGUCUCCACCCGAGACUCAGUGAAAUUGAACUCGCUGUGAAGAUGCAGUGUACCCGCGGCAAGACGGAAAGACCCCGUGAACCUUUACUAUAGCUUGACACUGAACAUUGAGCCUUGAUGUGUAGGAUAGGUGGGAGGCUUUGAAGUGUGGACGCCAGUCUGCAUGGAGCCGGCCUUGAAAUACCACCCUUUAAUGUUUGAUGUUCUAACGUGGACCCGUAAUCCGGGUUGCGGACAGUGUCUGGUGGGUAGUUUGACUGGGGCGGUCUCCUCCUAAAGAGUAACGGAGGAGCACGAAGGUUGGCUAAUCCUGGUCGGACAUCAGGAGGUUAGUGCAAUGGCAUAAGCCAGCUUGACUGCGAGCGUGACGGCGCGAGCAGGUGCGAAAGCAGGUCAUAGUGAUCCGGUGGUUCUGAAUGGAAGGGCCAUCGCUCAACGGAUAAAAGGUACUCCGGGGAUAACAGGCUGAUACCGCCCAAGAGUUCAUAUCGACGGCGGUGUUUGGCACCUCGAUGUCGGCUCAUCACAUCCUGGGGCUGAAGUAGGUCCCAAGGGUAUGGCUGUUCGCCAUUUAAAGUGGUACGCGAGCUGGGUUUAGAACGUCGUGAGACAGUUCGGUCCCUAUCUGCCGUGGGCGCUGGAGAACUGAGGGGGGCUGCUCCUAGUACGAGAGGACCGGAGUGGACGCAUCACUGGUGUUCGGGUUGUCAUGCCAAUGGCACUGCCCGGUAGCUAAAUGCGGAAGAGAUAAGUGCUGAAAGCAUCUAAGCACGAAACUUGCCCCGAGAUGAGUUCUCCCUGACUCCUUGAGAGUCCUGAAGGAACGUUGAAGACGACGACGUUGAUAGGCCGGGUGUGUAAGCGCAGCGAUGCGUUGAGCUAACCGGUACUAAUGAACCGUGAGGCUUAACCU